rnacentral:lncRNA from 1 species
GAAAUGUAAAAGAGACAAACAACUGCAAAAGUGUAAGAACCAGAAUGAUGUGAUGUCAGGGAACAGAGAGCCAAAGAGGAUGCGUAAAUAAAGACAAUCAUUUUCAGUGAAUUUGGAAAUACAGAGGACAUUGGAAAACUAUGAAUCAUUUCCACAGAGAGUUGGCAAACCAAGGCAGAUUAUAAGUAAUUGAGAAAUAAAUGGAAAAUAAGAUAGCAGAAAUGCUUUUUAGUUAAGACAUGAGAAGAGACUUUAUGGUGGAUACAGGGAAAAGUAGUGACAACAGAUUAUUUUUGGAUGGGAGGGAUAAGCCUAAAUUUUGGCUAAGGGAAAGAAAGGAAAUAAGGGAAGAAGAAAUUGAAGACAUAGGAGGCAGACAUUUCAAAGGGAUGGGAGUAGAAAAUUUAGAUGAAUUGCCAGGACUGAAGAAAAGGAGAUGGGAGGAAGAGAGAUGGUUCCUGAUACAUGUUAUCAAUCCAGAAAGGUACAGAGGUUGGCACAGUGUACUGACACAGGUUGGUCAGUUAAGAUGGAUUUGGCUAGACAGUCGGCAACACCAAAAUUUCACAUAUGCCCAGUCUGGAAUUGUUUGCUUUGCAUUUAGUAAGUACAAUCUUGAAAUUAGGAAUGAAUUCAACUUUCUCUUCUAUCCUGCACUUGUGUGGGUAUGUGUGUGUAUAAAUAUAUAUAUUUAUAGUAGGCAGUUUCUAAGUCAGUACAUUUUUAUAAUGACUGUUCUAUUUUGUGGAUAUACCAAAAUUUGUUUCUACAUUUCUGUAUUGAUGAAUACUUGGAUCUUUAUACCACUUUGCUAUUAAAAAUGAUACUGCAAGGACAAAACAACUCAAUUUCAGUGAGCACCAUAUAGCUUUCAACAGAAAAAUUUGCUCAGGAAAGGCUGUCUGCUCUAACCUCUGCCAGGAUACUGCAGGCCAAGAAUUAAAUUUUUAGCUCCAGGGUACUCUUUUUCUUAAAGAUGUAGUUUCUAAGUUGAGNNNNNAUUAACUAAGCCUCAGCUUUCCUGUUUGUCUCUUGAAUGCCAAAGGAUAUUACAUGGCAAAGUGAUAACAAGAGAAUGACUGUAGUGCACUCAACUUUUUAAAUGUGAAAACACAUGAUUGGUAUAAUUUACUGUCAUCACAUCAACAUUAACACUAUCAUCACCUUAUCAGUAUUUGCAGGCAAACUCUUUCCAUGGUCAAAGUUUUGGAUCUAAUAUAUAGUCUUGCACUAAGAGAUGAGUCUCUGUAUUCUCGUCUCAAGUUAAACUGCUUGGGGCUGGAUGCAUGUCUGGAAUCUUCUGUACAAUGUAUUCGACAGGUGUUCUUUGAAGCUUCUGGAGUGUAGUAAGAAUUAGAAAGUGACUGAAAAUAUGUCAUCCUCCCCUGCAAAUUCUAGUCCUUAUUUUCAGCUCUAACACACUGAGAUGCAAAAUUACUUCUACAUAG